UAGGGAAUCUUCCACAAUGGGCGAAAGCCUGAUGGAGCAACGCCGCGUGUGCGAUGAAGGCUUUCGGGUCGUAAAGCACUGUUGUAUGGGAAGAACAGCUAGAAUAGGAAAUGAUUUUAGUUUGACGGUACCAUACCAGAAAGGGACGGCUAAAUACGUGCCAG
rnacentral:rRNA from 1 species